rnacentral:sRNA from 1 species
AGUACAUAGAUGGCUGUUGGGCGGUCAGGCUAAUCUCCCGGAAGGGAGGUGAUGCCAUGGAGGUAUCUCAAACGCUGACGUUGAUGAUUUCUUUCGCAACGUUAAUCGUGCUGAUUCUUUCCUUCAACAAAAAGAAAUAGACCGCCCACCCGUGACAAGGUACGGUCUAUUCUUUGAACAAACCUCAGUCUAAGCCCACCGCCCAUAAAGCGGCUAUGUGCCCGGGUCACAGAUGCUGGUAACAUCUGCG